CCACAUCAGGUUGAAACACUGGUUCCCGUAUGAUCACCAUAGUUAAGCAACAUUGAGUAUGGUCAGUAUCUGGACAGGUGACUACUUGGGAAUACCAGGUGUUGUACG